UUGCUUUGGCAGCAAACAUAAUAAACUUAGAAUGAUGCAGGGAAGAUUAGCACGGCCCUUGCACAAGGAUGUUAUGCAAGUUGGUAAAGCAUUUUAUGUUUUU
ensembl:snRNA U6 U6 spliceosomal RNA